rnacentral:rRNA from 1 species
GUCCACGCCUUAAACGAUGUAUGCUUGAUAUCGGAGAAAUUCGGUGUCGUAGGUAACCUGAUAAGCAUACCACCUGGGAAGUACGAUCGCAAGGUUGAAACUCAAAGGAAUUGACGGGGGCCCGCACAAGCGGUGGAUCAUGUGGUUUAAUUCGAUGCAACGCGAAAACCUUAACCUAGGCUUGAAGUAUAAGUAGUAAGGAGAUGAAAGUCAAAUGACUCGUAAAAUCGAGAUCUUAUAGAGGUGCUGCAUGGCUGUCGU